GCUUUAGUUGUCAGCUUAAUGCCUAGAUUCAUCUGAAAGAAAUGAUCUGAAUCAGAUUGACCUAUGAACUUAUCUGUGAGGGACUGUCUUGAUUGUUAAUUGAUGUAAGAGGACCCAGCCUACUGUGUGGAGGGGUAACAUCCUUUGGCAGGUGGUCCUGAACUGUAAGAAAGUUGGCUGAGUAUAAACUUACCUGCAAGGCUGCAAUGCCCAGAAAGGAGUUGGUGGCAAGUCACAGACCACACCCCAACCUUUCAGUCCUUUUGCUAAUUUCUGCUGCUUCACUUCAGAGUCCCAGAACAACAGUGUGAUGACUCACCAGCCUUACUUCCUGCUGUGGAGUGCUUUCUCCUGCUCAGCAAGGCUCAGUGCUGAAUUUCCUGUGACAUUUGCAUGUGUUAUUAAGGCCUGGGAUCCUGCAGUCACAUUCCAUGUUGGUGAGUCCAUAGAAGGGAAAUUCCUAGGGUCAACUCUUCUCACCAUCUGACUGAUAACAUGUUUGUGUUCUGAGAAGGCUAACUUUUGAGGAUGUUGGAAGAUGAUGAAGGUGACCUCAUAGUCCCAUACUGUUCACAAGGGGAACAAAUCAUCCCAGAAGGAUGCAGAGCCUGGAUAUCAUUCUGAGUCUCUUCUGGACUGUGAAGGAGACCUUCUAGAAAGUUGUGUCUGCUGAGACUGAUUGACUGAUUAGAAUUUCAGUGCUAUGGAGAGAUUUGAAUGUUACAGGUCCAGAGGCUAAUUACCUUAUCUUCGGUUAACUUUACCUGCACACCUCAACAGCUAUUCCUUGUGUGCCUCUGUGUCAGAACCAGCAUCCUGUGACUAAUAGAUAAAAGCCUUUGGAAACUAUUAAUUUAACAGACCUUCUACCAAGCCCAAAGAUAACAGUGUUAACAGAUAACAUCUUUGGUCUAUAAAAUAAGUUUCCUCAACCUUGCUGUAACCACCUCUCAGAUAUGCCCACCAAUGUAUUUUAAGCCUGUCCUGAUUUAUGACUUUCAACUUUCUGUAAAACUAUAAAACUUCAUGUAACUGCUUCUAGUUCAAACAUGGACUUUGAGGUAUCUUAAUCUGUGUUUCUGGUCAUUCAGAAUGGAUCCAGAAUGAACUAGCUUUUAUUCUUCUUAAGAAGGAAAAUUGUUUUUUGAGUUGACACAAUCAAAGCCAAAUUUUUAAAUAAAUUAAAAAUUAUUUUUAAAUGUAAGAAUUGAUUAUUGAUAUUAGCUCCCCUAGUUAAGCAAAAGCUAUUGACAUAGUAUGUUAACAAGUAUGCAUGUCUGUCCUCUGACUUGUGAAGGAAUUCAAAUAUGUUUUGGUGAAGUUUAGUAAUAGUGGGGGACUAUGGCUAUCAUAGUAUGGGGCCUCCUCAAUAACAAGACAGAAACUAAGAAACUUCUAUCUCUUUAAAAUAGAAUGGACCAUUUUGCCUCCAGAGGAUGUAAAUUGAACAUGUCUUUGUGUUUUCACUUAGAAUUUUAUUUCUGUUCUCACACCCCACCCUCCUUUACAUGAAUAUUAAGGUCCAAGGCUUUAGCAACAGGCAUUUGGUCCUGGGGGAAGAAAGGGUAAAGGGAAGAGUGUUGUGUAUGGCUUUUCAUAUGUUAAUGGUUGAUUCCAUGGCAACCAUUGAAAAAAAGAAGGGCUAGGGACAAAAGGGGCUGCAGGAGAGAGGAUGGGGCUCUUUCAGGGGCUAGUAAGAAUAACAGCCCAGACCCUCUCCUCUGAAAGAUAUCUGAUGGCCAGACCUCAAAGGACUUUGUCUUAAUAGUGCAGAGUCAGUAUGUAAUUAAUGCAGAGUUUUAUGAGUCCAAAUUUCACCCUCAAUGAUGUUUCCCCUUUAAAACGUGGAGAAUAAGAAUCUGAAACCAAGAGGAUGUUUCAAAUCACUGCUCCCAUUGGGACCCACAACGGAGUCUAUCCAGAGGACACACUAGACUAUCGGCUCUAAGCAUCAGACAUUUCAGUUUUGAGUUAAAAGGUCAAGGGCUUUUAUCUUUGAGUACAAGAAAGCUUUUAAAGCUGGCUGACUAAGAGCAAGCACAGUGGGAAUGGCUGUGCUCUCUCUCACAUGCAUCCUUUGAACACUGUCGUCCCUGAUGACAUGUUGAAAUGGUACAGGACACAGACAAGAGCAGGUCACAGGACACAGAGGACACUGGUGACAUUCCAUUCCUUGGCUUCCUUGACCAAUGAAAAGAAUUCCUGGCUGCCUAUAUAUCCUCCCAGAAACAUGGUGACAUCCUCACAUCAGAUUCCCUAGUGCGCUAAAUCUUCAUGUGAACUUCAGUGGUUAUACAUAUGAAAUAGCUGUUGUAUCUUGCCAGCACAACACACUCUUUCUAGCCCUUUCUCAAGUACUGCAAAGCAUUACAUUCAGUAACAAUGCCAACUUUACCAACUUUCUAUCCAGCCUUGUUUUCUUGCAUGUGUAUUCCUCAGUCUUUGAUUGAAUUAUAUUGAAUUCCUCUCUCUCUCUCUCUCUUUUUGUCUCCUUUAAAUAGUUGCCAGAGACCAGCCACCAGUAGCUGCGAUACAGUGUUUUCUCUGUUUCGAUAGACACAAGGGCUUUUUAUCACAAUGGAAUGCUUAUGGAAUUGCAUGUUUCAAAAGACACUAAACAUGAAAAUACAACUUCAUUCAAAGUCAGGUUACAAUUAUGAAUAGCAAGGCUACAAUGAAGAGAGAGAGAAAGAAGUGCUGGUCUGUCUUUCUUUCAGUGGUUAUAAAAUGUAAUUCAUUUUUUUCCCUCAUAAGCCUUAUGAACCUUACUCCCGCUUUUAUGUUAUUCAAAACUCUGAUGGGGUGGAAAGCACAGAGUUAUUGUAGCUACCAGGAAUCCCAAUAUGAGGUCUGACAAUAUUGUUACCAACAUUAUAUUAUAAAGAGACAGUUUCUUCAAAAUGAUCUUAUUUUUGAAUGCCUGUUUGCUUGAUGUUUGCUGAGUAAUAUGUGACAUCUGAUAUUUUGGCAACAACACUGAAUAAUUAAUCUAUUCAUCAAAAUUUUUAAAAGUGUUUUUAUAGACUAGGACUUGGUCAUAUUUGAUCAGUACAUGCUAUGACUGGUUGUCAUGGAAAUGUAGCCUAGUAUAUAUGGAUAAUUGUGUAAAUAAAGAAUCAUCCCU
rnacentral:lncRNA from 1 species